rnacentral:rRNA from 1 species
CCUACGGGGUGCAGCAGUCGAGAAUCAUUCACCAUGGGGGAAACCCUGAUGGUGCGACGCCGCGUGGGGGAAUGAAGGUCUUCGGAUUGUAAACCCCUGUCAUGUGGGAGCACAUUAAAAAGAUCGUACCACAAGAGGAAGAGACGGCUAACUCUGUGCCAGCAGCCGCGGUAAUACAGAGGUCUCAAGCGUGGUUCGGAAUCACUGGGCGUAAAGCGUGCGUAGGCUGUUUCGUAAGUCGUGGGUGAAAGGCGCGGGCUCAACCCGCGGACGGCACAUGAUACUGCGAGACUAGAGUAAGGGAGGGGGAACCGGAAUUCUCGGUGUAGCAGUGAAAUGCGUAGAUAUCGAGAGGAACACUCGUGGCGAAGGCGGGUUCCUGGACAGUAACUGACGCUGAGGCACGAAGGCCAGGGGAGCGAAAGGGAUUAGAUACCCGGGUAGUC